rnacentral:lncRNA from 1 species
AGUGCGGCCUGCAGACUCCAUGCCUUUCGGCGUCCACCCUCGCGCCCCAGUCCCGGCCCACUGCGUACCCCUUCCCUGACCUGGACCUUUCCGGGCCGUGUGCUCCUAGUCGUCCUCUCCUCGAGGUGCCCCGCUGUGACCAGCAGACCUGCACACAGACGCAAGACAGGAUAAACAUCUGGGAAGCACAGGUAUAUGAGGCACAGAAACACAAGGCACUGUGGAUGCCUCUUCUGUCUGGACAGAAAACUGGAGUCAGGAGACCUCUCUGAGUCCCCAGAGACAGAAUCAUCACUACUGUGUGUCCUUGGAUGUCAAGGCUGUCCCUUACAGCAAUGGCUCUGUAAUAACCAUCGAGUUGACUCCUCCAGCUUCCAGUCCCAGAGG